AAUGAACGUUGGCGGCGUGGAUUAGGCAUGCGAGUCGAGCGAGAACCGUAGCGAUACGGGGACAGCGGCGAAAGGGACAGUAACGGGUAGAUUAUCUGCCCUCAGGUUUGGGAUAGCUGCGGGAAACUGCAAGUAAUACCAAAUAAUAUCUCCGGAUCAAAGGUGUGAUUCCGCCUGAGGAUGAGUCUGCCUCCUAUUAGCUUGUUGGUGGGGUAACGGCCUACCAAGGCAUUGAUGGGUAGCGGGUGUGAGAGCACGACCCGCGUCAUUGGGACUGAGACACUGCCCAGACACCUACGGGUGGCUGCAGUCGAGAAUCUUCGGCAAUGGACGCAAGUCUGACCGAGCGACGCCGCGUGUGGGAUGAAGGCCUUCGGGUUGUAAACCACUGUCAGAGGGGAUGAAAUGCAGGUGGGUACUCCCAUUUGUUUGACAUAGCCUCAGAGGAAGUACGGGCUAAAUUCGUGCCAGCCGCCGCAGUAA
rnacentral:rRNA from 1 species